rnacentral:rRNA from 1 species
GAUGAACGCUGGCGGCGUGCCUAAUACAUGCAAGUCGAACGAGGUGCUUUUGUAGCAAUACGAGAGUAUCCUAGUGGCGAACGGGUGAGUAACGCGUUGGUGACCUACCCAAAGUGUGGGAUAACAGUCCGAAAGGAUUGCUAAUACCGCAUGUGGUCUUCGGGUUUAGAAACUGAUGACUAAAAGGAGCAAUUCGCUUUGGGAGGGACCUGCGUCCAUCAGCUAGUUGGUGAGGUAAUGGCUCACCAAGGCUACGACGGGUAGGGGACCUGAGAGGGUGACCCCCCACAAUGGAACUGAAACACGGUCCAUACACCUACGGGUGGCAGCAAGUUAGGGGAAAUAUUUGCACAAUGGGCGAAAGCCUGAUGCAGCAACGCCGCGUGUGCGAUG